GCACUGUCUUUGAACCUGUGAUGCACUGAUGUGUGUUAUCACAGAGCGAGGAAUAGUGCGAGAGUACGUGCUUGUUAUUACCGGAUCCUCUCAACAUCGUGUACUGAGCUGUUCUUUUAAAGGCAAGCUACACAU